AGGACAUAUAGCUCAGCGGUAGAGCAUGGGAUUGCAAAUAAUGCAACAUCAUCCUAUGGUCGUGUGUUCGAUUCACACUAUGUCCUG
rnacentral:tRNA from 1 species